UACAGAGGGUGCGAGCGUUAAUCGGAAUUACUGGGCGUAAAGCGCGCGUAGGCGGCUUUGCAAGUCGGGUGUGAAAUCCCCAGGCUUAACCUGGGAACUGCAUUCGAGACUGCAUUGCUAGAGUAUGGGAGAGGGAAGUGGAAUUCCACGUGUAGCAGUGAAAUGCGUAGAGAUGUGGAGGAACACCGAUGGCGAAGGCAGCCCCCUGGGCCAAUACUGACGCUCAUGCACGAAAGCGUGGGGAGCAAACAGG
rnacentral:rRNA from 1 species